GGGGAGAGUCUCAGAAAGUUCUAAAGACUGUUUCGCCCGUUCGAGGUCAAAGCACAGUUAGAUUGUGUAUUGGUUAUUUUCGACACCGCUAACCACGGGGUUGGCCUCCCUGGCAAUCAGCCCUCACCUCCAGAGCUGCCGCCUUGAGGUCCAAAGGGGCUUGUCACGAAUGACAAGAGCAGAGUCCGAGGGUUGUGGGCACUCAGAGCCAGGAACCCGGACCAAAUACGCGCGUGCUGCUUAUCGCGUGUCGCAGGCCACGUGGGGUCGUGCUGACAGGCAAGGACCCGCCUUGGGGACUGCUCCACGGCAAGUCGUGUUUUAACCCCAAACCUGAAGGAGGUGUGGACCCGCCAGGAACCCACAGCCAGAGGAGAAUUUUAAAUCUUUCAGAAACAAGGCUGAAGAAAUCAGCCAACAAAUGCUGUUCCCAUGCUCGCCCCGUGGAUGGCUGACAGUAAGUAAUGAAAUAAGCAAGUCCUGACGCCAGUGGGCGCUGGCGGCUGCAGCAGCGGCGACAGUAGAGAAUUACAGGUUAGGUCUGGAAGGAGAUGUGCACAAAAUUGUAACCCGUCGGAGCCCCUGGAAAGCAGGAGUAAGACAGCGUUGUAGAAAACGCAGGACCAGAGCCCACAAAGGGCUGGCAUCUGGGCGUCGGCAGGUAUUGGAGGACGGAAGGUGGUCUCAGAGCUACUAGAAGCUUUAGGCAGAGGCAUCUCUCCCCUUGGACCGCGAGUCUGUGCCCCCCACUAGGGCGGCCCCCCCCCAAAUCCCCAAGCGGCACGCCAGCCUCACAACAAAAUGAACAACCAAGCGUCUUCUAGCCCAGAAAACCUGUCCAGAAAGGAGGAAGGCAAAGAGAACAGUUCUCCCCUCCAACGAGCUUUGGGCAGAAUGUACGCCUCCCGGUAAUGCACUGAGCUCUGGGAAGCAGACCCCAGACGGCACCCUCGAUGCACGACAGGAGAAGUGAAACUCCUGUCUUCUUCACAAGAGGAAGUGGCAUCUUGCAAACCUGCUCCUGGCUGAUGUUCCCCAGAGGGGACUCUCCUCCACAUUCACACAUCAGAGACGGGCCGCAGCCCAAGAAAGGCAUCGCGGAUGCAAACCUGCCCAGAGGCUUUAGAGUUUUACAUCACAUCAAAGAGGGAAGGAGCGCACCCUCUUUGCACUAGGGAAAUUUUAUCUUAUUUAUUUUUUAUUUUAAAAAUUUAUUUUAUUGAAGCAUAGUUGAUUUACAAUGUUGCAUUAAUUUCUGCUGUACAGCAAAGUGAUUCAUUUAUACAUAUAUAUAUAUACACAUUCUUUUUCAUAUUCUUUCCCAUAAUGGUUUAUCCCAGGACAUUGACUAUAGUUCCCUGUGCUCUACAGUAGGACCUUGUUGUUUAUCCAUCCUCUGUAUACUAGUUUGCAUCUGCUCAUCCCAAACUCCCACUCCAUCCCUCCCCCACAGGGAAAAUUUUAAAUUAAAAUUUAUGGUUUAGAUUUGCAUUUACCCUUACAGUAAUCACGGUGUCUUGAAUGAAACCGGGUGAGUAAUGCAUUGCACACAGAGAUCCCUCAGGAGUCUGCUCGUGUUUGAAUAUAACCUUGCCACCAUUCUGGCUCUGGCUUCCAGUAUUUCUCUUAAAGUUAAUAUUGUGAAGAGCAGGCUCCUAGGGUAGGUUGUUGACAUGCAUCUUUGUAUAUUCAGAACGUUUCCCACGGCCUCGGAGACCCUACACCUCACCGCUUCCUGACCUGGGAAGUCCUGAGGGCUCUCACCCUGAGACCCGGUUGCAGAGCAGAAUGGAACCUGCUUUGCAUCUAAGGCAGAGGUGCUGUCAACUCUGUGGGCGACAGAAGCUGUGCUCAGACUGUCAGAAACAAGGACGUGAUUGUUCUUCCUGGGAGAACAGCCUUGAGAAAAAUUCUCAAGGGAAAAAGAUCUCCCUACCUCUUGUUCAAAGGAAACCGGGUCACAGUUUCAUAUGAUUUCGGGACAGGGUUGCCAGCUGGAACGCCGGUCACAUCUGAAGU